AUUGAACGCUGGCGGCAGGCCUAACACAUGCAAGUCGAACGAGUGGCGGACGGGUGAGUAAUGUCUGGGAAACUGCCCGAUGGAGGGGGAUAACUACUGGAAACGGUAGCUAAUACCGCAUACCAUCGGAUUUGCCCAGAUGGGAUUAGCUAGUAGGUGGGGUAACGGCUCACCUAGGCGACGAUCCCUAGCUGGUCUGAGAGGAUGACCAGCGACACUGGAACUGGGACACGGUCCAGACUCCUACGGGAGGCAGCAGUGGGGAAUAUUGAACAAUGGGAGCAAGCCUGAUGCAGCCAUGCCGCGUAAAUGAAGAAGGCCUUCGGGUUGUAAAGUGCUUUCAGCGAGGAGGCGUUACUCACAGAAGAAGCACCGGAUAACUCCGUGCCAGCCGCCGCGGUAAUUA
rnacentral:rRNA from 1 species